rnacentral:rRNA from 1 species
UUAAGCAUAUCAAUAAGCGGAGGAAAAGAAACCAACAGGGAUUACCUCAGUAACGGCGAGUGAAGCGGUAACAGCUCAAAUUUGAAAUCUGGGUCUUUCAGGCUCCGAGUUGUAAUUUGUAGAAGAUGCUUCGGGUGCGGCUCCGGUCUAAGUUCCUUGGAACAGGACGUCAUAGAGGGUGAGAAUCCCGUAUGUGAUCGGUUGCUUGCGCCCAUGUGAAGCUCUUUCGACGAGUCGAGUUGUUUGGGAAUGCAGCUCAAAAUGGGUGGUAAAUUUCAUCUAAAGCUAAAUAUUGGCCAGAGACCGAUAGCGCACAAGUAGAGUGAUCGAAAGAUGAAAAGCACUUUGGAAAGAGAGUUAAACAGUACGUGAAAUUGUUGAAAGGGAAGCGCUUGCAACCAGACUUGCGCGUUGCCGAUCAUCCGGGGUUCUCCCCGGUGCACUCGGCCUCGCUCAGGCCAGCAUCGGUUUCGGUGGUGGGAUAAAGGCCUUGGGAAUGUAGCUUCUUUCGGGGAGUGUUAUAGCCCUCGGUGCAAUGCCGCCUACCGGGACCGAGGACCGCGCUUCGGCUAGGAUGCUGGCGUAAUGGUUGUAAGCGACCCGUCUUGAAACACGGACCAAGGAGUCUAACAUCUAUGCGAGUGUUUGGGUGUCAAACCCAUACGCGUAAUGAAAGUGAACGGAGGUGAGAACCCUUAAGGGUGCAUCAUCGACCGAUCCUGAUGUCUUCGGAUGGAUUUGAGUAAGAGCAUAGCUGUUGGGACCCGAAAGAUGGUGAACUAUGCCUGAAUAGGGUGAAGCCAGAGGAAACUCUGGUGGAGGCUCGCAGCGGUUCUGACGUGCAAAUCGAUCGUCAAAUUUGGGUAUAGGGGCGAAAGACUAAUCGAACCAUCUAGUAGCUGGUUCCUGCCGAA